ensembl:lncRNA LINC00293 long intergenic non-protein coding RNA 293
GGUACUGCACAGAACAGACAUUGUGACAUAUAUCUAGGCAAAUUGCCUAGAAGUGAAUCCCCUCUCCUGCUUAAGUCCUUCCCACAGAGAGCGGUUUGAUAUGUCACUGAAACCAGCAUCCAGGUGGUAUUGCUCCAUAUGCCUGAGACCCUAACAAAAGCCUAAUUACAACUCAUAUGCCUGGAGCCAGGACAUGUGCAGGAUGGUGAUGUAACUUUCCUCUCUGGAAUGGGUCCUGCACAAAGGAAUGAUAGUAACAUAUUGCAAAGCCAGACACACAGCCAUGAUGGUCCAAGUUAUAUUGGGAUUCAGCCAAUAGAAGAUAUUUUGCCUGUCAUCCCUAAGCUUAGGACAAUAGACUCUGCCAAGAGAGGGGAUUAUUACAUAUUGCAGAGCCCAGCACCUAGGUGGAGUGACUCUCAUCUUUUUCUUCUACCCCGUAUAUAGCCAGCUUGGUGACCUACUAUUUGAGUCUAUACCCAGGCCCAGACCACAGAUGAAAUUGUGCAAUAUGUGGAACAAACACCUAAACAAUAUAUAACACCUUCCUUGGCUCUGUCUACAAAGGGCACUUUUAUAUAUCACUGGGACCAUCAACCAGGUGAUGUUAAUUAUCUUCCUGAAACCUGUCUACAAAGAGAGUUGUGUCGUAUACCUAGGCCCGUCAUGUGAUGUUGUGCCAUAUAACUGAGACCGUAUCAAAAGCCUAAUAACAAGACGUAUGUCUGGAGCCCCGAUAUGCACAGGAUGGUGAUAUAACCCUCUUCUCUGGAAUGGGCCCCACACAAAGGAAGGAUAGUGACAUAUUGCAAGCCCAGGCACACAGGCCCAGAGCACAGUUGAAAUUGUGACAUAUGUACACCAAGCAACCAAGCAAUGUAUAACACCUCAUUUGGCAAUGGAAUCGAGGGCACUUUUACAUAUCACUGAGACCAGCGCCCAGCUGAUGUGAAAUAUUGGCCUGAACCCUGCCUACAAAAGCAUUGUGGCUUUUAUCUAGCUCCAUUACAUAAGUGAUGUGACUUCCUUCUACUGCCUUGGCCCUGCACUUAUGGUGAAUCGUGACACAAAAUUGGGUAGAGCAACCAGCCUGGGCCCUGACCAGCACAGAGAUUGAGGCAUAUUGCUGAACCCAGGACCAAGAUGAAGUCACUCUCCUGCCUUGAUCCUGCACACAGGGACCCUUGUGACAUAUAUACAGGCCAAUUGCCUAGGUGAUGUUGUGCAAUAUACCUGAGACCAGAUCAAUGGCCUAAUAAUGACUCUUUUACCUAGAGCCAGGACAUGUGCAGGAUGGUAACUCUCAUCCCUGAACCUUUCCACAGGUGUUAUUGUCACAUAUACCUUUUCCAGCUCCAAAGUGAUUUAAUAAUCCAGCCUAGUUAUAGCCCACAGAUAAUAUUUGGACAUAUACCUGAGUCAAGAACCUUGGUGAUUUGACUCUCAUGUCUUAACAGUGUCCUCAGAAGGGAUCAUAACAUAUCUCUGGACCCAUCAUCUAGGUUAUGUGACUCUCUUCUCCUGCCUGAACCCUGCUUCCAGUGAAGAGUGUUGCAUUUCUAAGCACUGCAUCCAAAUGACAUGAGUUUCUUGCCUGGGCCGUUUCAACAGAAGGCAUUGUGACAUAUCUCUAGGUCUAUCAUUUAGGUGAUAUGACUCUCCUCUCCUGCCUGGACACUCUCCACAAGGGGCAUUAUGCCAUAGAGCUAGAGCUAGCAACCAAGUUUUGUGAAUUUUCUGUUAGGGCCUUGCCUACAAAGAGAAUUUUGGAAUAUUUCUGGCUUAGAAUUUAAGUAAUGUGGUUGUUCUGCCUGUUCAGUAACCACAGAGGAGAAGGUGAAAUAUAUCUAGGCACCGCAAACAGGCAUGAUAAUGAGUCUUGUAUGUGGACCCAGCAAAUAGGAGAAAUUUUGACUCUUAUAACUAGGUUUAGGAACAUGAGUGAUGUCCAGGAUCUCCUUCUGGUAAGAAGGUCACAGAAGAUUGCAACACUCACAAUUAUUUUGUAACACCUUUGGGUUGUAUAGGGAGUGUCGUAACAGGGCCAAACACACAGAGGAAAUUGUGACAGUCAUAUGCACACCUACCUGACAGUAAAGACUUUCACAAUCACAAAUGGAUGAAGGCAACUGUCCUACAUGAAAACAGGACAUGUGUGGUAUUGUACAUCUAAAACCUAGAAUUUUAUUCCAUUGUGACUGUGAUAUAAAUCAAUGCCAAGC